GAAAAUAGAAAGAGGGAUUAGGGUUGAGUUUUGUGACCCUUCAACUCUUCCCUCAUACUCUCGUGACUCGUCUCUCUCCCUCCCUCAAACGCACAAACGGCGGAGAGCUCAACCUUCCUCCGAUCAAACGAAACCAACGGCGGCGAGUUCUCCCUUCUCCGAUCAAACCGUUCAUCCUUCGCCGCUCACAAACAAAACUCAACAUCCUCUAUUUGCUUCCGUUUAACUCUCAACUCGUCUCUCAGCCUCUCUCGAUCUCAGCUCUCUCGGCUCACUCUCAAUUCUCCGCUCAGUUUCUGAUUUAAACUAUUAACCAAAAAAUCUAAACCUAAAUGCACGAUGAAUGAACAAGAAUCAAGAUGUAUAAAGAAGAACCUGUUAGGAGACCUGAAUUUCCGGUGCGGUGGCGGAGAUUCCCGACCACCGCGAAACUCAGGUUUUACAGUGCCACGACUUAAUGGAGCAUGGAUGCUUGGUAACAAAAGCUUGGAGUUAGCAGAGAAAGGGUCAUGGUGUUGAUAUUUCGAGGAGGGUUGAUGGGCUUCUAUGAAAGCGGCUAUGGUAUGAAGGUUUUGCAUCCGAACUGGCCGACGCUGUUGGGCUUAAUGCUUGGACUCGUUUGAGAAUCACGACGCAUUGUGUAUGUUUAAUGUAGAGCUGUUCGACCACUGGUAUUGAAUAAAUUUGCCAUUGGACGGUCAAAAAAUGAAUGAAUUCUGACUUAGAUUAUGUAUGGACUAUGUUUACGUCGGACCGUUUAUGUAACCAUGACUGAAUGGAUCUGAAUUAUGCUUGUGUAUGCUUGAAACUGUUAGUUUUGGAAUAUGGUUGAAAUGUUACGAAUGCUGGCAGUUAGGAGUCGCUUGGAAUUGGAAUGCUACUGUCAUUUAUGUGAGUCGGUUUGGCGGAAAAGGUUAGGAAUUAGUUAAUGCGAGAAAUCAGGUUAUGCUGCUAGUUUUGUUUGUUGUCAGUUUGCUGUGAAAUGAGGUUCAAGACUUUUUUUUCUGUUGGUUUAAUGGACCAUGUGAAAUGCUUUUAACUUGUUAGUAUAUGUACAGGGCUGCUUGUUUAUUUGGUUUUGGACAGUGUAUGUUUUGAAUGUGAGUUGGAACUUGUUUUAAUUGUUGUUCUAAUUGUGAACAGGGCUUUGGCAGCAUGAAGCACAUGGUUUGGAUCUGGAAGUAGCAGACAUGUUUGGCAUAGUCAGAAGAGGAAAUUUGGCUCAAGCCUAAGGAUAAAGCUUGAAGAUUAGGAGCAAGUCACCAUAGGUUUAGGAAUUUUAGAAUUUGAUCUUCAUGUAUUUUUGUACGAUGUAAAGGAUAUGUUUCCUGAUGGAAGUUUGAUAAAUGAUUUUUGAAUGAACAUUGAAAUCAUGGAUUUUGAUGAACUUUGAUGGACAAAACCAAUGAAUAUCCUUGGAUUAGGUUC